rnacentral:rRNA from 1 species
CCUACGGGAGGCUGCAGUGAGGAAUAUUGGUCAAUGGACGAGAGUCUGAACCAGCCAAGUAGCGUGAAGGAUGACUGCCCUAUGGGUUGUAAACUUAUUUUAUAUGGGAAUAAAAUGUUCCACGUGUGGGAUUUUGUAUGUACCAUAUGAAUAAGGAUCGGCUAACUCCGUGCCAGCAGCAGCGGUAAUACGGAGGAUCCGAGCGUUAUCCGGAUUUAUUGGGUUUAAAGGGAGCGUAGGUGGAUUGUUAAGUCAGUUGUGAAAGUUUGCGGCUCAACCGUAAAAUUGCAGUUGAAACUGGCAGUCUUGAGUACAGUAGAGGUGGGCGGAAUUCGUGGUGUAGCGGUGAAAUGCUUAGAUAUCACGAAGAACUCCGAUUGCGAAGGCAGUUCACUGGACUGCAACUGACACUGAGGCUCGAAAGUGUGGGUAUCAAACAGGAUUAGAUACCCUUGUAGUC